rnacentral:rRNA from 1 species
AGCGAACGCUGGCGGCAGGCCUAACACAUGCAAGUCGAACGGAUCCUUCGGGAUUAGUCGCGGACGGGUGAGUAACACGUGGGAACGUGCCCUUUGGUUCGGAACAACUCAGGGAAACUUGAGCUAAUACCGGAUGUGCCCUUCGGGGGAAAGAUUUAUCGCCAUUGGAGCGGCCCGCGUCUGAUUAGCUAGUUGGUGAGGUAACGGCCCACCAAGGCGACGAUCAGUAGCUGGUCUGAGAGGAUGAUCAGCCACACUGGGACUGAGACACGGCCCAGACUCCUACGGGAGGCAGCAGUGGGGAAUCUUGCGCAAUGGGCGAAAGCCUGACGCAGCCAUGCCGCGUGAAUGAUGAAGGUCUUAGGAUUGUAAAAUUCUUUCAGCGGGGACGAUAAUGACGGUACCCGCAGAAGAAGCUCCGGCUAACUUCGUG